UACGUAGGUGGCGAGCGUUGUCCGGAUUUACUGGGCGUAAAGGGAGCGUAGGCGGACUUUUAAGUGAGAUGUGAAAUACCCGGGCUCAACUUGGGUGCUGCAUUUCAAACUGGAAGUCUAGAGUGCAGGAGAGGAGAAUGGAAUUCCUAGUGUAGCGGUGAAAUGCGUAGAGAUUAGGAAGAACACCAGUGGCGAAGGCGAUUCUCUGGACUGUAACUGACGCUGAGGCUCGAAAGCGUGGGUAUCAAACAGGAUUAGAUACCCGCGUA
rnacentral:rRNA from 1 species